rnacentral:rRNA from 1 species
UACGUAGGGUGCAAGCGUUGUCCGGAAUUAUUGGGCGUAAAAGAGCUCGUAGGCGGUCUGUCGCGUCUGCUGUGAAAAUCAGGGCUCAACCCUGGACCUGCAGUGGGUACGGGCAGACUAGAGUGCGGUAGGGGGAGAUCGGAAUUCCUGGUGUAGCGGUGAAAUGCGCAGAUAUCAGGAGGAACACCGGUGGCGAAGGCGGAUCUCUGGGCCGUAACUGACGCUGAGGAGCGAAAGCUGGGGAGCGAACAGG